GACGAACGCUGGCGGCGUGCUUAACACAUGCAAGUCGAACGGAGAGGCCCUGCUUUUGUGGGGUGCUCGAGUGGCGAACGGGUGAGUAACACGUGAGUAACCUGCCCUUGACUUUGGGAUAACUUCAGGAAACUGGGGCUAAUACCGGAUAGGAGCCCCUGCUGCAUGGUGGGGGUUGGAAAGUUUCGGCGGUUGGGGAUGGACUCGCGGCUUAUCAGCUUGUUGGUGGGGUAGUGGCUUACCAAGGCUUUGAGGGGUAGCCGGCCUGAGAGGGUGACCGGCCAAAUUGGGACGGGGAACCGGCCCGAAGUCAACCGGGAGCAAGGGGGGGGGAAAUUUGCAAAAGGGGCGGAGGCCGGAGCGAGCAACGCCGGGUGCGGAAUGACGGCUUUCGGGUUGUAACCCGUUUUCGCCUGGGUCGAAGCGUGAGGGAGGGUAAUGGGAAAAGAAGCACCGGCAAACCACGG
rnacentral:rRNA from 1 species